ACAGCAGCCGCCGCGGUAAUACGUAGGUGGCGAGCGUUGUCCGGAAUUAUUGGGCGUAAAGGGAGCGCAGGCGGACAUAUAAGUCCAUCUUAAAAGUGCGGGGCUCAACCCCGUGAGGGGAUGGAAACUGUAUGCCUUGAGUGCAGGAGAGGAAAGCGGAAUUCCCAGUGUAGCGGUGAAAUGCGUAGAUAUUGGGAGGAACACCAGUGGCGAAGGCGGCUUUCUGGACUGUAACUGACGCUGAGGCUCGAAAGCCAGGGGAGCGAACGGGAUUAGAUACCCCCGUAGUCCCUGUCUCUUAUACA
rnacentral:rRNA from 1 species